GAUGAACGCUGGCGGCGUGCCUAAUACAUGCAAGUCGAGCGAGAAGCUUGGAAAUGACGCUUCGGUUGAUUUUUCAAGCGGACAGCGGCGGACGGGUGAGUAACGCGUAGGCAACCUGCCCCUGACAGAGGGAUAGCCAUUGGAAACGAUGAUUAAAACCUCAUGACACCGUAGUAGCACGUGCUACAUCGGUCAAAGAUUUAUCGGUCAGGGAUGGGCCUGCGUUUGAUUAACUGGUUGGUGAGGUAACGGCUCACCAAGGUGACGAUCAGUAGCCGACCUGAGAGGGUGAUCGGCCACAUUGGAACUGAGACACGGUCCAAACUUCUACGGAAGGCAGCAGUAGGGAAUCUUGCACAAUGGGCGAAAGCCUGAUGCAGCAACGCCGCGUGAAGGAUGAAGGCCUUCGGGUUGUAAAUUCUGUUCUAAGGGAAGAAAGAAAUGACGGUACUUAGGAGCAGCCCGGCUAA
rnacentral:rRNA from 1 species